rnacentral:tRNA from 1 species
UCCCUGAGGGUCCAGUGGUUAAGACUCUGUACUUCCAAUGCAAAGAGCAUGGGUUCGAGCCCUGAUUGGGGAA